AGAACCUGCCUUUCAGGCAUCCUCUCCCAAACUUUUCAAGCCCGGCACCUAGUGCCGGGCUUUUUUCUUGCCCGGC
rnacentral:sRNA from 1 species